rnacentral:rRNA from 1 species
GACGAACGCUGGCGGCGUGCUUAACACAUGCAAGUCGAACGAAGUGGCGAACGGGUGAGUAACGCGUAAUCAACCUGCCCUUCAGCGGGGGACAACAGUUGGAAACGACUGCUAAUACCGCCUACCGAAGUCGGGGAUUGCGUUUGAUUAGCUAGUUGGGGGGGUAACGGCCCACCAAGGCGAUGAUCAGUAGCCGGUCUGAGAGGAUUAACGGCCACAGUGGGACUGAGACACGGCCCAGACUCCUACGGGAGGCAGCAGUGGGGAAUCUUCCGCAAUGGACGAAAGUCUGACGGCGCAACGCCGCGUGAGUGAUGACGGCCUUCGGGUUGUAAAGCUCUGUUAAUCGGGACGCGGUACCGGAAUAGAAAGCCACGGCUAACUACGUGCCAGCAGCCGCGGUAAUAC